rnacentral:misc_RNA from 1 species
GAUGAAGAACGUAGCGAAAUGCGAUAAGUAAUGUGAAUUGCAGAAUUCAGUGAAUCAUCGAAUCUUUGAACGCACAUUGCGCCCGCCAGUAUUCUGGCGGGCAUGCCUGCUCGAGCGUCAUUACAACCCUCAGGCCCCCGGGCCUGGCGUUGGGGAUCGGCGGAGCCCCCCGUGGGCACACGCCGUCCCCCAAAUGCAGUGGCGGUCCCGCCGCAGCUUCCAUCGCGUAGUAGCUAACACCUCGCGACUGGAGAGCGGCGCGGCCACGCCGUAAAACACCCAACUCUUCUGAAGUUGACCUCGAAUCAGGUAGGAAUACCCGCUGAACUUAAGCAUAUCAAUAAGCGGAGGA